GAAGGAUCCAAGCGUUGUCCGGAUUUACUGGGUUUAAAGGGUGCGUAGGCGGACUAUUAAGUCAGUGGUGAAAGCUUGCAGCUUAACUGUAAAAUUGCCAUUGAAACUGAUAGUCUCGAAUAUGGUUGAGGUGGUUGGAAUGUAUCAUGUAGCGGUGAAAUGCUUAGAUAUGAUACAGAACACCGAUUGCGAAGGCAGAUCACUAAACCAUUAUUGACGCUGAGGCACGAAAGCGUGGGGAUCAAACAGGAUUAGAUACCCUGGUAGUCCACGCCCUAAACGUUGCAUACUCGGUUUUAGCGAUAUACUGUUAGAACCCAAGCGAAAGCGUUAAGUAUGCCACCUGGGAAGUACGUCCGCAAGGAUGAA
rnacentral:rRNA from 1 species